GACAGAGGGGGCAAGCGUUGUUCGGAAUUACUGGGCGUAAAGGGCGCGUAGGCGGUUCGCUAAGUUGGAUGUGAAAACUCUGGGCUCAACCCAGAGCCUGCAUCCAAAACUGGCGGGCUAGAGUUCUGGAGGGGGUAGCGGAAUUCCUGGUGUAGCGGUGAAAUGCGUAGAUAUCAGGAGGAACACCGGUGGCGAAGGCGGCUACCUGGACAGAAACUGACGCUGAGGCGCGAAAGCUAGGGGAGCAAACGGG
rnacentral:rRNA from 1 species